rnacentral:tRNA from 1 species
GCACAUUUAGCUCAGUUGGUUCAGAGCAUCCGCCUGAUACGCGGAAGGUCGGUGGUUCAAGUCCAUCUGUGUGCACCA